AACUCUGAGCAGUGGAUCACUCGGCUCACGGGUCGAUUAGAAGAACGCAGCCAGCUGCGAGAUUUGGUGAAUUGCAGGACACAUUGAGCACUGAUUUUUCGAACGCACACAGGCCUCGGUCCUGCCCGGGCCUCGCCUU
rnacentral:rRNA from 13 species